AGACGAGGAGGAUGCAGAUGAAAGACAAGGAGGAUGCAGAUGGAAAGACGAGGAGGAUGCAGAUGAAGACAAGGAGGAUGAUGGAAAGACGAGGAGGAUCAGAUGAAGAGACAAGAAGGAUCAGAUGAAAUGCAGAUGGAAAGACGAGAAGGAUGCACAUGAAGAGACGAGAAGGAUGCACAUGAAGAAACGAGAAGGAUGCACAUGAA